rnacentral:lncRNA from 1 species
GAGAUCUGUCAGAGGCUGACUGGCUGGCUACAUAUCUGUCUCUGGAACAAUAGGUACCUAUAUUCUGCACGGGCUUCUGGGCAGGCAGCACUAACACUCAGGAGAAGGUCUGCCUCUGUCUGCGCCUUCCUGGUUCAAUGCAGGCAGAUGAGUGUCACAGAUGUAACUGAGGCACUGAAUAAUCAACAUAUCGGAGCCAAUUCCCAGGACGGCAAGAGGGGGAACCGGCAGAGAUGACUGACCCUGGAGGACAAGAGCAUUCUUCUGACAAGUUUUAGCAUGGACUAUCCUCAGGAAAAUGAGAUCCAGGAAGAGUGACGCCCUCCUCGAACUGAAAGAUACUCAGGUUGAUGGAGUCAGGGACGAAGUGGCUUAUCAACAACACAGGAUGUCUGCAGGGAACAGAACUUAUUCAGACAUGGCCCAGAUUGUCUGCCCGUGGGGACUGAGGGACCUCUGAGGGUUACAUCAGGAAGGAAGGAGAGGCUGUUUCUACAGGUGCCACAGAAAAAUCGAUGCUGAGCCUCGGAUUAUUGGAUCCCAUAGAACCGUGGAGACUUGGCAGUGAAAUUCUUCCAAAGCAUUCCAUCUGCGCAGGCAGGCAGAGGUUUUCCUGGUUUGGGAAGUAUAAAUCCCGUGGGAAGUCAACUGGAGGACAUUUUACGCGUCACUCAUCCUAUUAUGAGCCUGCUGCUCCUCCGUCUCUUGACAAGGCCACCAACUAGAAGGGCACAGAAUUGUUCAUAAAACAGCUGAAUGUGAAUGUCUUUGGAUUCCCAUUUAAUGAGCUGUCUGAGAUGCCAACACCACAGAGCACAAUAUCUUUGAGUUGGAAACAUGUCAUUUGCUUGCGUCUCGUCAUCCUUUGGGGUUUUUCUAGACUCCCUGCCUCUUCUGUUUCUCGUCGAUGCUUCCAUUGUAUUCCAGUUGGCAGCUAAAGGACAGGAGCAGCAAUAAGGCUUCCUGGCUACAUUUUCAUGGUGCCACCAACUGCGAGUUAAGCUGACAAACAUUUUGAGAGCUCGGCCCAUUUCAUUCCCAGCAGGAUGGCAGGAGUUAACUAAAACAGAAUAAACUAAAAAUUGUGCCUUCAUUGCACAUUUGCACUGAUUAUCAGCACUGAAAAUGGCUAAGUUCUGCUUAUCAAGGUUAUGCUUCACAUCACCCACCAGGGAGGAUCAUCUCUCAUGAAAACUUUCAAAUUUGAUUUUGAAAAUUUAUUCAGAAAAAUUUAAGCCACGCUCUUUCCCAACACAGGAAAUAAUAUGCUCCAGAGAAUCCUCUAAUUCACCGAAAAUGGACUUGGAUAACAUUUGGGUUCUCAUACUACCACAGUCCUCUUGAGAAGGACAGCCAGGUACACAAAGCAUUUAACAUUCUGACAUUGAAGUAUUGGAAGAAUGAUUAAAAUAAAAAUCUAAUAAUAUGUUUUGAGGAAUUGCUAACAUAGUUUAUGUGGUCCAGGAAGGAGGAAAGAGCCGCUUUCAUUUCUCCACCAUGUCUGGGGAUGUGUUUCUGCUUCUCUUGCUAGAACACAGUGUUUUAACUGCGUGUCAUCUUUCCAUAGCAUUGUUUCUACACAGUUCAUUGUGAUAGCGUUGGUGCCCAUAGCUGAGCUUAUGCACACAGAAAGGAUCAGAUAAAGCAGAAAGCUCAUGCCGUGGUCUAGCUUGGUGUUUCUUGCAGUGCUUUCAUGAUGGAGAUUUUCUUUAUGAAAUUGUCAUUUGUGAGCAAAUUGCUAUUUAAAAAAUAUUAAAUUAGCUAACUAACUUGUCUCU